UACGUAGGGUGCGAGCGUUAAUCGGAAUUACUGGGCGUAAAGCGUGCGCAGGCGGUUUUGUAAGACAGGCGUGAAAUCCCCGGGCUCAACCUGGGAACUGCGCUUGUGACUGCAUCACUUGAGUACGGCAGAGGGGGGUGGAAUUCCACGUGUAGCAGUGAAAUGCGUAGAGAUGUGGAGGAACACCGAUGGCGAAGGCAGCCCCCUGGGUCGAUACUGACGCUCAUGCACGAAAGCGUGGGUAGCAAACAGGAUUAGAUACCCUGGUAGUCCACGCCCUAAACGAUGUCAACUAGGUGUUGGGUGGGUAAAACCAUUUAGUACCGUAGCUAACGCGUGAAGUUGACCGCCUGGGGAGUACGGCCGCAAGGUUAAAACUCAAAGGAAUUGACGGGGACCCGCACAAGCGGUGGAUGAUGUGGAUUAAUUCGGUGCAACGCGAAAAACCUUACCUACCCUUGACAUGUCCAGAAGCCUGAAGAGAUUUGGGUGUGCCCGAAAGGGAACUGGAACACAGGUGCUGCAUGGCUGUCGUCAGCUCGUGUCGUGAGAUGUUGGGUUAAGUCCCGCAACGAGCGCAACCCUUGUCGUUAAUUGCCAUCAUUUAGUUGGGCACUUUAACGAGACUGCCGGUGACAAACCGGAGGAAGGUGGGGAUGACGUCAAGUCCUCAUGGCCCUUAUGGGUAGGGCUUCACACGUCAUACAAUGGUCGGUACAGAGGGUUGCCAAGCCGCGAGGUGGAGCCAAUCCCAGAAAGCCGAUCGUAGUCCGGAUUGGAGGCUGCAACUCGCCUCCAUGAAGUCGGAAUCGCUAGUAAUCGCGGAUCAGCAUGUCGCGGUGAAUACGUUCCCGGGUCU
rnacentral:rRNA from 1 species